UCCGAGUUGACCGCCUGGGGAGUACGGCCGCAAGGUUAAAACUCAAAGGAAUUGACGGGGACCCGCACAAGCGGUGGAUUAUGUGGAUUAAUUCGAUGCAACGCGAAAAACCUUACCUACCCUUGACUUGUACGGAACCCCGCAGAGAUGCGGGGGUGCCCGAAAGGGAGCCGUAACACAGGUGCUGCAUGGCUGUCGUCAGCUCGUGUCGUGAGAUGUUGGGUUAAGUCCCGCAACGAGCGCAACCCUUGUCAUUAGUUGCUACAUUCAGUUGGGCACUCUAAUGAGACUGCCGGUGACAAACCGGAGGAAGGUGGGGAUGACGUUCGUCUGAC
rnacentral:misc_RNA from 1 species